UGGCGGUGCUUUAGACCACUCAGGGGAACCUGUCUCAUAAUCGACAAUCCACGACACACCUAACCUUUUAUAGUUUAUCAGUAUGUAUACCGUCGUCGUCAGGUAACUUUCAAAAAGAAAAAAGUUAGCAACAACAAAUUAUAAUUUUAAACGUCAGAUCAAGGUGCAGCUAAUAAAAAGGUGAAGAUGGGUUACAAUUAAAAUUUAUAAUACGAAUUUAAAUCUGAAAUAUUUUUUUUUGAAGGCGGACUUGAAAGUAAAAAUUCAUAAGAUAAAUCUUUUGAAUGCGGCUCUGAAGCGU
rnacentral:rRNA from 1 species